ACGCUCGACACCUACUGGAGGCAGCAGUGGGGAAUAUUGCACAAUGGGGGAAACCCUGAUGCAGCGACGCCGCGUGGAGGAAGAAGGUCUUCGGAUUGUAAACUCCUGUUGUUGGGGAAAAAGAGGAUGGUACCCAACAAGGAAGUGACGGCUAACUACGUGCCUAGCAGCCGGACGGUAAUCUGGAGGCGGGGCUGGACGAAGGC
rnacentral:rRNA from 1 species